rnacentral:rRNA from 1 species
GGUUAAGCGACUAAGCGUACACGGUGGAUGCCCUGGCAGUCAGAGGCGAUGAAGGACGUGCUAAUCUGCGAAAAGCGUCGGUAAGGUGAUAUGAACCGUUAUAGCCGGCGAUGUCCGAAUGGGGAAACCCAGUGCAAUUCGUUGCACUAUCGUUAACUGAAUACAUAGGUUAACGAGGCGAACCGGGGGAACUGAAACAUCUAAGUACCCCGAGGAAAAGAAAUCAACCGAGAUUCCCCCAGUAGCGGCGAGCGAACGGGGAGCAGCCCGGAGUCUGAAUCAGCUUGUGUGUUAGUGG